GCGAGUCGAGAGACGUAAGGUCUCGGCGGACCGCUCAGUAACACGUGGAUAACAUGCCCUAAGGUGGGGGAUAAUCUCGGGAAACUGAGGGUAAUACCCCAUAGGUCUGAUAUGCUGGAAUGCUUUCAGGCCGAAAACUCCGGUGCCUUAGGAUUGGUCUGCGGUCUAUCAGGCUGUAGUGGGUGUAAUGGACCCACUAGCCCGUGACGGAUAUGGGCCUUGAGAGAGGGAGCCCAGAGAUGGACUCUGAGACAUGAGUCCAGGCCCUACGGGGCGCAGCAGUCGCGAAAACUUCGCAAUGGGGGCAACCCCGACGAGGGAAUUCCAAGUGCCAGCACUUUGUGUUGGCUGUUCUCCUGUCUAAAAAACAGGAGGAGUAAGGGGCGGGUAAGACGGGUGCCAGCCGCCGCGGUAAUACCCGCGCCCCAAGUGGUGGUCGAUAUUAUUGAGCCUAAAACGUCCGUAGCCGGUCUUCUAAAUCUUUGGGUAAAUCGGACAGCUUAACUGUCCGAAUUCCGGGGAGACUGGGAGACUUGGGACCGGGAGAGGUCAGAGGUACUUCUGGGGUAGGGGUAAAAUCCUGUAAUCCUGGAAGGACCACCGGUGGCGAAGGCGUCUGACUAGAACGGAUCCGACGGUGAGGGACGAAGCCCUGGGGCGCAAACGGGAUUAGAUACCCCGGUAGUCCAGGGUGUAAACGCUGCGGGCUUGGUGUUGGGGGUCCUUAGUGGGCGCCCAGUGCCGGAGAGAAGUUGUUAAGCCUGCUGCUUGGGGAGUAUGUCCGCAAGGAUGAAACUUAAAGGAAUUGGCGGGGGAGCACCGCAACGGGAGGAGCGUGCGG
rnacentral:rRNA from 1 species